CGGUGGGGACCUCUGCCAACCCUUGGGGGACAAGAGAGCAGGUAUUUGUCUACCAGCUCCUGUGCAUCACUCAUGAGGGAUGUGAACUUCCUUUCAUCCAACAGGCUGACCACACUCCUGCUCCUGUUCCUGACCCAAGGAAGCCCCCAUGCAGAGCACCCCUGUCCUCUCUGAAUGGGACCAGCAGCUGGAUACUGAGUACCAAUAGCGUCUGCCCUGUGAGUGAGAUUUUUCUUCUGAAGAUGCCAAAGCCAUGUCAGACUCCCGCUGCACCCAGGAUUUCCUUUGAGGAUGGAGAGCAGAGCCAAGCUGCAGGGCCUGGUGUUCCAGCUGCUGUGCAGCCCUGGGCUGCCAGGGCACUCCGUGAUGGCCUUUGUCUUUAGCAUCACCAUCUCCUAAGACACAUAGAAGAGUGGGACAGUAACAGAAGGACACAAAAGGUACAAGAGUCAUAGACACUGGCCAAGAGCCCAGGCUGAGCAGGGUCAGGAGGACUUUCUUGGCACCAACCCUGGUGUUCACCAGCAUGAGCAGGAGUGCACAGGAUAGAAAGGGGCGGGGCAUUCAGAUCCACAGAAGCAGGUGGACGUGGUAUACUGGGGGGCUCUGCUCCAUAAGGGGAGUGGGACAGGUGAGGAAGUGAGGAGCCAGAGGGUCUGGGAUUCUCUUGUGGGCACAUUGGGGAGCCUUGGAGAGGUUAAGCCAGAUCAGACGGACCCUCUGAAAGAAUCCCUCUGAUUUCACUGUGCAUGGAGGUACUCAUUGCCUAGAGGCAGGGAGGUGAGUUAGGAGGUCUGGCAGUCCACUGUUGAUGUAAAAU
rnacentral:lncRNA from 1 species